CGGCGAUCAGGGUCACGUCGCAGAGAAUGCCAUCACUUCUUUGCUGAUUCAGCGCCGCCAGGACCGUGUCAUUAGACCUUUGGACUGCUUCCUCAGAAACUGAUGGGGACCGGCCUCCAGGCAGAAUGGCCGCCACUUACUUUCCCUCUGGCUGCCUCUCAGACUUUAGACUGUGGAGCUCCCUCCCGCCUCGGUGCACCGCCCAGCUCAGCUCAUCCUUGGGACCUCAGGCCUGCUUCUUUCCUGGGUUUGCACUGCACUUUACCAUCAGAACGGUUUUCAUCACGGCAUUUGCAUUGCUGGUGGUGUAGCUGUUUCUAUGAUAGAAUACCCAGUUUAUGAAGGAAUAAAUCAAAUUUUGUAUCAGUCAUAGCUGGUACUUUACAUCAAGU
rnacentral:lncRNA from 1 species